GACGAACCGUGCGAACGUUAUUCGGAAUCACUGGGCUUAAAGCGCGUGUAGGCGGGCGGGCACGUCCGACGCUGAAAUCCCCCGGCUCAACCGGGGAACGGGCGCGGAUACGGCUCGUCUGGAGGGGGGUAGGGGGCGCUGGAACUCACGGUGGAGCGGUGAAAUGCGUUGAGAUCGUGAGGAACGCCAAUGGUGAAAACAGGUAGCUGGGAGUGUGCUGACGCUGAGACACGAAAGCCAGGGGAGCGAACGGG
rnacentral:rRNA from 1 species